AAACAAAAUGGUAAAGAGUAUCAGAUCACCAGUUUUACACCUAGAGACCAGAAUGUUGUAAGUGGGAAGUGCCCAUAAUGUUAAAUUAUCUUAAUGCUACUUUCAUUAACCUUUUGGACUGUAUAACAACAUAAUGUUUUGGUACAUAAAGAGCAUAACUACCGGCCAGCGAAAAGUUGAAAUUAUGUCAAAGAUUCCCAAGAAAGCUGAUAAAACAAACAGUUAGCAUGUUACACUUCUGUGGAUCCAGUCUAAUAAUUU
rnacentral:lncRNA from 1 species